GACGAACGCUGGCGGCGUGCUUAACACAUGCAAGUCGAACGACGAAGCUAGAGCUUGCUCUGGUGAAUUAGUGGCGAACGGGUGAGUAACACGUGAGUAACCUGCCCCGAACUCUGGGAUAACUGCUGGAAACGGUAGCUAAUACUGGAUACGAUCUACGAAGGCAUCUUCUGUAGGUGGAAAGAAUUUCGGUUCGGGAUGGACUCGCGGCCUAUCAGCUUGUUGGUGAGGUAAUGGCUCACCAAGGCGACGACGGGUAGCCGGCCUGCGAGGGUGAUCGGCCACAGGGGGACUGAGACACGGCCCAGACUCCUACAGGGGGCAGCAGUGGGAAUAUGGCACAAUGGGCGCAAGCCUGAUGCAGCAACGCCGCGUGAGGGACGACGGCCUUCGGGUUGUAAACCUCUUUUAGUAGGGAAGAAGCGAAAGUGACGGUACCUGCAGAAAAAGCACCGGCUAACUACGUGCCAGCAGCCGCCGUAA
rnacentral:rRNA from 1 species